AUUGAACGCUGGCGGCAUGCCUUACACAUGCAAGUCGAACGGCAGCAUGGAGAGCUUGCUCUCUGAUGGCGAGUGGCGAACGGGUGAGUAAUGCAUCGGAACGUACCGUGUAAUGGGGGAUAACGUAGCGAAAGUUACGCUAAUACCGCAUACGACCUGAGGGUGAAAGCAGGGGAUCGCAAGACCUUGCGUUAUACGAGCGGCCGAUGUCAGAUUAGCUAGUUGGGGAGGUAAAGGCUCACCAAGGCGACGAUCUGUAGCGGGUCUGGGAGGAUGCGCCGCCACACGGGGACGGAGACACGGCCCAGACUCCUACGGGAGGCAGCAGUGGGGAAUUUUGGACAAUGGGGGCAACCCUGAUCCAGCCAUGCCGCGUGAGUGAAGAAGGCCUUCGGGUUGUAAAGCUCUUUCGGCCGGGAAGAAAUCGCACAGGCUAAUACUCUGUGUGGAUGACGGUACCGGCAUAAGAAGCACCGGCUAACUACGUGCCAGCAGCCGCCGUAA
rnacentral:rRNA from 1 species